rnacentral:rRNA from 1 species
CUGAAAGGAGAGGUGGACUGCUCUAAGUUGAUGGAACUUCUUACUGCAACUUUCUGCAAGACUAGGCAUUGGCCAUGGCAGAUCAGAGGGUUAUCAAACAAGACCUUUUUGGUCAGAUUCCCUCCAUGGAAGAAAGUUGAGUCCCUCAUUGAGCUGCCUGGUUUUUCUCUUCCACAUGAUGUUAAUGUCACACUGACUGAAUGGAAAGGUGCCUGUGAACCUUUCGGUGAGUUGAUUGAAGCCUGGGUCCUAAUUGAAGGGAUUCCUCCCAAACGGUGCACAUGGAAAGUGUUUUCUCAAAUUGACUCACUUUUUGGGAUUCUUACAGAUGUGGAUUGGAAUGGUAUGUUUAGGACUUUCUUUGAGAAUGUUAGGGUGAAAAUUGCCUGUAGAGAUCCCACUAAGAUACCUUUUGAGAGGUUGAUUGAGAUGAAGAAAAAGCUCUUCUUAUUAGGUUUUACUAUUGAGGGAUUUGAUCAAGUGGGUGGAGUUGACUCUGUCAUUGAUGUUGAUGAGGCUGAUGAUGGUGAUGAGGAUGUUGAAGGAGCUGAGGAAGACCAAGUAGAGGAAGAAAGGGAGACCCAUGGAGAAUAUGCAUCUAAUGGAUCAGCAGAUGGGGGACUGGCCAUUGAUGAGGUAGACAAAGCUAACUUCCCAACCAAGCAUGGGUCUACUAGCAAGCAAAAGGGACAUAGUUUGGUGACCUCACCUGUGGAGCAGUAUCUUGAUUCUGAUCAGGAAAAUUUUAUUAUGGAUUGUGCAAUGACUGAGGUGAAACAUGAUGCCCCAUCUUCUGAUGGAAAUGAGGGUAUGACUGAACAUAGAGACAAGCCACUGGAACAAUGCAAUGAUGAUGAUGUAGCUGAGAUAGUGGAUGAUAUAGUGAUUGGAGAAAAUAUGGCUAAAAAAACUCAUGUUCCUUCUGGAAAGAAUGACACUAUGUUUAUGCCUGGGGAGAGAUCUGGUAAUAUGGAGUAUUGUGAGGACUUGCUUAGGUCUGUGGAUCUGUCUGAUUCUGAAAAUGAGGAGCACAAUGAAGAGGAGCUGGGGGUUCUCCCUCCUGAGGCCAUACAUAUCUUGCAGAGUGACACCCUGAAGAGAUCCUUACUGGAAUCACUUAACCAAGCUUAG